ACGUAGGGGGCAAGCGUUAUCCGGAUUUACUGGGUGUAAAGGGAGCGUAGACGGACUGGCAAGUCUGAUGUGAAAGGCGGGGGCUCAACCCCUGGACUGCAUUGGAAACUGUUAGUCUUGAGUGCCGGAGAGGUAAGCGGAAUUCCUAGUGUAGCGGUGAAAUGCGUAGAUAUUAGGAGGAACACCAGUGGCGAAGGCGGCUUACUGGACGGUAACUGACGUUGAGGCUCGAAAGCGUGGGGAGCAAACAG
rnacentral:rRNA from 2 species